AAUUUCAGAAAGCACACCAGAUUUCUUAGCACAUUAGUUAAGAUACAGAGAAGGAUAACAUGGCCCCUGUGGAAGGCUGAAAUGCAAAUUUAAGAAAAGUUCCACUAAAAU